rnacentral:rRNA from 1 species
GCAGCGCGGGGCAACCUGGCGGCGAGCGGCGAACGGGGUGAGUAAUACAUCGGAACGUGCCCAGACGUGGGGGAUAACUACUCGAAAGAGUGGCUAAUACCGCAUACGAUCUACGGAUGAAAGCGGGGGAUCGCAAGACCUCGCGCGUCUGGAGCGGCUGAUGGCAGAUUAGGUAGUUGGUGGGAUAAAAGCCUACCAAGCCAACGAUCUGUAGCUGGUCUGAGAGGAUGAUCAGCCACACUGGGACUGAGACACGGCCCAGACUCCUACGGGAGGCAGCAGUGGGGAAUUUUGGACAAUGGGCGAAAGCCUGAUCCAGCCAUUCCGCGUGCAGGAUGAAGGCCCUCGGGUUGUAAACUGCUUUUGUACAGAACGAAAAAGACUCUGGCUAAUACCUGGAGUCCAUGACGGUACUGUAAGAAUAAGCACCGGCUAACUACGUGCCAGCAGCCGCGGUAAUACGUAGGGUGCAAGCGUUAAUCGG